UCCCAGGUGCGGCGUUGGUGCCGCGAGCGCUACGGGCGAGGAAGGCAGGACGGGAACGCCAGACCCUCCCCAGGCUGAGUGAGACGUUGCAGGACCACACUGUUUCCAAAAUGUAAAUUUGAAAACGAAAGGAGCGAAACUUUUCAUAGAUUUUGUUCCUCAGAGAAGGGCGUGCUGAGGAACUCCCUCACCCAAGGACAGCGCGGGGGCAGCCCUCACCCCGCCCCGCAGCGCCAGCCCGGGCUCGGGAUUGUCUCUCAGGAAUGUAAGUGUGUCAGGAACCCUGACACUGUCAUGAAGAGCAAGAAGGAAAAACUCAGAGAAUUCAAACUCAGCUGGAAACUGCUGGAGGAGCUGCCAGACGCAAUCAAGGAAGAGGAGAAACACUGGGGCCUGAAAAAAGAGAGCAUGAAACAUACCUCCUAUGCACGGUGCAGUGGAAAAGGUGAGAAACUGAAAUCUCUCCACGAUGCAGACACAAGUACAGGUAUGUUUAUGUGCAAGUUCUGGGGUGGGGGUGGGAGGCUCAAGGAAAAGAUCUCACCAACUUUAUCCAUCAAACACAAACAUGCACACAUGCCCGCGCACACACACCACCCCAACCAAUUAGAAACUGGAGCCCACCCCAGGUACAUGACCCCUCCCUCCAAUCCAGACACCAGAUCUCCAAAUUAAUAAUUCAUGUUCAGGAUUCUGAAAGCUGAGGGCUGGAAACCUCUGUUCAGUUCAGCAAUCCCAUUCCUCCUCCCAACCCACUUGCAACCCAAGAAGCAAAGGUGGGGGAAGGGCACUGGAAGAAAGUAAAGGAACUGCAGGACUGCAGAUGUGGGGGACUAGGGUAUGAACGCGACAUCUGUAUUUAGAUAUGAAAAAGACAGGAAAUAAAAUACAAAGAGUUAAUGAG